rnacentral:rRNA from 1 species
CACGUAGGGGGCAAGCGUUGUCCGGAUUUAUUGGGCGUAAAGAGCUCGUAGGUGGUUCGAUAAGUCGGGUGUGAAACCUCCAGGCUCAACCUGGAGACGCCACCCGAUACUGUCGUGACUAGAGUCCAGUAGGGAGCGUGGAAUUCCUGGUGUAGCGGUGAAUGCGCAGAUAUCAGGAGGAACACCAGGUGGCGAAGGCGGUCGCUG